CAAACCACCAGCACGCCUUCCAUCUCCUUCCAUCCAUCCUCUCCCUCUCCACCCCGAGCGCAACCCCGAUCGAGUUCUCCUCCUCAACCGUGCAGCAGCGGCGACGGCCGCCCGGCCUCUUCGCACCACAUACGUAGCACAAGAUCUCCGCCGCGCAACGAGACGUUGCUCUAUAUCAUUCAUGGCACCGCCGCCUCCCGCCCACGACCAGGCCGUCGAAGCUCCGCCUAUUCGUGUGCUGGUCGUCGACCCAGACGGGGGGAUCUGGAUUGUUUACAUUCAAGACGAGGAAACGCAAUAGCAGGUAUGGAACCUUUCUAGACGGCGCUGCUACACAAAGUUGCAUCUACACCUGUAUAAUCAUACGUGGCAGCUUUGCAGCGUCCUUGGACAACUGGAGGACUAUCCACCUAAAAUCCAUGCCCAAGACCAAGAACAAGACCGUCCUCUCUCGUGCACAAGAAAUUGGAUUGUAAAAUAAGAAGGGCUUGUUUCUGUACCUCGUGUUUGCGACAUAUGAACUGCUUGUGAAGCCAUCAGGCUGUGAAGCCAUGUGCACUCUGAAAGUGUGUUUUAAUGUAAUAUGCAAAGAAUGGCAUUGUGACAAAUAUAUCUUCCACGGUCGUUUCA